rnacentral:rRNA from 1 species
GCAUCCUGGGGCUGAAGUAGGUCCCAAGGGUUGGGCUGUUCGCCCAUUAAAGCGGUACGCGAGCUGGGUUCAGAACGUCGUGAGACAGUUCGGUCCCUAUCUGUCGUGGGCGUAGGAAAUUUGAGAGGAGCUGUCCUUAGUACGAGAGGACCGGGAUGGACGCACCGCUGGUGCACCAGUUGUUCCGCCAGGAGCACAGCUGGGUAGCUAAGUGCGGACGGGAUAAGCGCUGAAAGCAUCUAAGCGUGAAGCCCCCCUCAAGAUGAGAUUUCCCAAUUCGUAAGACCCCUUGAAGACGACAAGGUUGAUAGGCCUGAGGUGGAAGUGCAGCAAUGCAUGGAGCUGACAGGUACUAAUCGGUCGAGGGCUUAUCCAA